rnacentral:piRNA from 1 species
UGAGAAGAAAUGAUGUGACAAUUCUUAUG